rnacentral:rRNA from 1 species
GAGGGAGAAAGUGGGGGAUCUUCGGACCUCACGUCUAUCAGAUGAGCCUAGGUCGGAUUAGCUAGUUGGUGGGGUAAAGGCCUACCAAGGCGACGAUCCGUAACUGGUCUGAGAGGAUGAUCAGUCACACUGGAACUGAGACACGGUCCAGACUCCUACGGGAGGCAGCAGUGGGGAAUAUUGGACAAUGGGCGAAAGCCUGAUCCAGCCAUGCCGCGAAGUGUGAAAAAAGGUCUUCAGAUUUGUAAAGCACUUAUAAGUUGGGGAGGAAAGGGCAGUAAGUUAAUACCCUUGGCUGUUUUUUGACCUUUACCCAACAGAAAUAAAGCACCCGGCUAAAUUUCGUAGCCAGCAGCCCGCAGUUAAUACGGAAGGGUGCAAGCGUUAAUCGGAAAUUACUGGACGUAAAAGCGCGCGUAGGUGGUUCACCAAGUUGGAUGUGAAAUCCCCGGGCUCAACCUGGGAACUGCAUCCAAAACUACUGAGCUAGAGUACGGUAGAGGGGUGGUUGGAAUUUCCUGUGUAGCGCUGAAAUGCGUAGAUAUAGGAAGGAACACCAGUGGCGAAGGCGACCACCCUGGACUGAUACUGACACUGAGGUGCGAAAGCGUGGGGGAACAAACAGGAUUAGAUACCCUGGUAGUCCACGCCCUAAACGAUGUCGACUAGCCAUUGGGAUCCAUGAGAUCUUACUCGGCGCAGCUAACGCUGAUAAGUCGACAGCCGUGGGGGAGUACCGGCCGCAUAGGUUAAAACUUCAAAUGAACUUGACGGAGGCCCGCACAAGCCGUAGAGCAUGUGAUUUUAAUUCGAAGCAACGCGAAGAACCUUACCUGGCCUUUGACAUGCUGAGAACUUUCCAGAGAUGGAUUGGUGCCUUCGGGAACUCAGACACAGAUGCUGCAUGGGCGGUCGUCAGCUCGUGUCGUGAGAUGUUUGGGUUAAGUCCCGUAACGAGCGCAACCCUCGUCCUUAGUUACCAGCACCUCGGGUGGGCACUCUAAGAAGACAGCCGGUGACAAACCGGAGGAAGGUGGGGAUGAGGUCAAGUCAUCAUGGCCCUUACGGCCAGGGCUACACACCUGCUACAAUGGUCGGUACAAAGGGUUGCCAAGCCGCGAGGUGGAGCUAAUCCCAUAAAACCGAUCGUAGUCCGGAUCGCAGUCUGCAACUCGACUGCGUGAAGUAGGAAUCGCUUGUAAUCGUGAAUCAGAAUGUCACGGUGAAUACGUUCCCGGGCCGGGUACACACCCCCCUUCACACCAUGGGAG